rnacentral:rRNA from 1 species
CGGUGUUCAACUGGCGUGUCCGCGGGACGUCCUGCCGGUGGGCUUAGCCCGCAAGGGCGGCCCCAACUUCAAAUCCCAUCGCGGUGCUCUUCACUGAGUGUCGAGAUGGGCCGGCACGUUUACUUUGAACAAAUUAGAGUGCUUAAAGCAGGCUAAAACUUCGCCUGAAUACUGUGUGCAUGGAAUAAUGGAAUAGGACCUCGGUUCUAUUUUGUUGGUUUUCGGAACCCCGAGGUAAUGAUUAAUAGGAACGGAUGGGGGCAUUCGUAUUGCGACGUUAGAGGUGAAAUUCUUGGAUCGUCGCAAGACGGACAGAAGCGAAAGCAUUUGCCAAAAACGCUUUCAUUGAUCAAGAACGAAAGUUAGAGGUUCGAAGGCGAUCAGAUACCGCCCUAGUUCUAACCAUAAACGAUGCCAGCUAGCGAUCCGUCGACGUUCCUCCGAUGACUCGACGGGCAGCUUCCGGGAAACCAAAGCUUUUGGGUUCCGGGGGAAGUAUGGUUGCAAAGCUGAAACUUAAAGGAAUUGACGGAAGGGCACCACCAGGAGUGGAGCCUGCGGCUUAAUUUGACUCGACACGGGAAACCUCACCAGGCCCGGACACCGGAAGGAUUGACAGAUUGAGAGCUCUUUCUUGAUUCGGUGGGUGGUGGUGCAUGGCCGUUCUUAGUUGGUGGAGCGAUUUGUCUGGUUAAUUCCGAUAACGAACGAGACUCUAGCCUGCUAACUAGGCGUAUUUUCGACAUCUCAAAGGUCCGUCGUCCCGGCCCUCGGGUCGUGGGCGUGCGCGAUUUUUACUGUCGGCGUACUAUCAAUUCUUCUUAGAGGGACAAGUGGCUUUUAGCCGCACGAGAUUGAGCAAUAACAGGUCUGUGAUG